rnacentral:rRNA from 1 species
AGGGGAGCAAUCCCCGAGUAAAGCGGCGAACGGGUGAGUAACACGUGGGCAAUCUGCCUGGGAGCGGGGGAUAACCUGGGGAAACUCGGGCUAAUACCGCAUACGACCGCGGGGUCACGGCUCCGCGAGGAAAGCUGGCCUCUACUUGUAAGCUAGCGCUCCCAGAGGAGCCCGCGGCUGAUUAGCUAGUUGGUGAGGUAACGGCCCACCAAGGCGACGAUCAGUAGCCGGCCUGAGAGGGUGAUCGGCCACACUGGAACUGAGACACGGUCCAGACUCCUACGGGAGGCAGCAGUGGGGAAUAUUGGACAAUGGGGGCAACCCUGAUCCAGCAACGCCGCGUGGAGGAUGAAGGCCUUCGGGUUGUAAACUCCUGUCAGGAGGGGCGAAAGGCCGGUGGCGAACAGUCACCGGCUCUGACGGUACCUCCAGAGGAAGCCCCGGCUAACUCUGUGCCAGCAGCCGCGGUAAUACAGAGGGGGCGAGCGUUAUUCGGAAUUAUUGGGCGUAAAGGGCGCGUAGGCGGCUUGGCAAGUCAAAGGUGAAAUCCCUCGGCUCAACCGAGGAACUGCCUUUGAAACUGCCUCGCUCGAGGCCGGGAGAGGGUAGUGGAAUUCCCAGUGUAGCGGUGA